UUUUGUUUGUAUGAUAGAAGAGAGGAGAGAGAGAGAGAGAGAGAGAGGGACAAGAAGAAGAAGAAGAGAGAGUUUUAGUGAACUCCCCAGCCUCCGCAACCGGUGCUCCGAGGCUUCGGGGGAGCAAUUCCAUUCCCCCCAAAAUCACUUUUUUUUUCCCCAGCCUUUGCAAAAUUUUCCUUUUUUUUUUGUCCCCGCUGCUUUGCUUUGCUUUGUUUGCUCAAAUCCUCGAGAAGUUCCGCAAAGAAACCCAUUACCGUGGGGGCCAUUUCCCAUUUCUACGCCCUUCUCCUCCUCUUCCUCCGCCUCACUCUACUGCGAUCUUCUCUCUGGUGAUUCUCCGCUGCUUUCGAGUGAUCAUCCGGCUAUUACCGUAAUUCACACCGUCCAAGCCGGGGCUAGAUCAGAGGUCGAGAUUAGCAUCCAAGCUCCUGGUUUUUUUUCUUUCAUCACUGCAUCAUCAUCUCGACAUCAGCAAGACCAGCACCAAAGUUUCCAGCUUACUACUAUUAAGCAGCAGCAGCAGUUUCUUCAUCUCCUCCUUCUUCGUCUUCUUCGUCCCUGGAAAGUUAAGACUGAUCUUGAGAUAUCCUGGAAAGAUAAAAGAGAGUUACCUGGAAGCUAGGGGUCACUGUUUUGAGCUGCUUGAUCUUGUUGCGUUUUUCCUGGCUGUGCUCUGAGCUCUGAUUGAUUCCUGCUCCUCCUCUUUCUUUCUUUUCCUUCUUUUUUCCUUCCUUGCUGGGCACACUGCUGCUAAUGAUGCAGUAGUAGCAGCAGCCGGAGCAGCAUCAGAUCAGUGCUUUGCUGAUUCACUUGCUUAGUCUUGGCUUGAGCACUAAGUCAGUCCGGUUGAGCAGCACCUUGAGUUGAGUGAUUGCAAGAGCUUGAUGAUUAUCUUCUUCGUAAUAAUGCGUUUCUUUGCUUUGCUCUGACCUGGAUUCCAAUCCAAGCUCUCGUCUCGCAUAGCUCUUGCUCCUUCCUCCCGUGGCCUGUGUGAUUUCUUGAGCUCUAAGCCAUUCGAUCUCCCUUCUUUUUGUGCAGUGUUUGAGUUAAGUUGAGCCCAGCAGUACGACUCUUCAGUGAUGUGCCAGCGGAUUAGCGUUUAAAGUCCA
rnacentral:lncRNA from 1 species